rnacentral:lncRNA from 1 species
ACUUCCUCCCUACGGCUAAGAAGCCGGAAGUGGACUCAUUUUCCACCGGAAGGAGGGAGAAAUUAUGACCGAGAGCCUGACACCUGAUGCUAGCGGCUUUUGUCUCGCCAAGUUGACCCAGUAUUUGGCCACCUUGUGCGGCGGGUGACUAUGGUGUCCAGGUAUAUAUAUGUAUUACCUGAAAGCCCAGGGCAGUUGUUGCCUUGGGUCAUGCAGAGAAUAUGCAGCCACACCCAUGCCUUAGAUGUGUGUAAUUCAAGUGGAGAAGACACAAGCCAGUGGUCGCAAUAUCAACACUUGAGUGUUCUGUAAACGGAUUGGUGUCAGCAGAAAACCAACAGUGAUGUGGUGGCACACAGUGAACUGACAGGACCCAGGCAGCAGCGGUUCUUUUGGUGGCAAUGGUGCCAUGUCAUGGGUACUCUCCUUGCUGAUGGCAGAUACCGACAGGCAAACUGUUGCCUUGCGUUUAGCUCUGUUAACCAUUGACAGUAAGAUUUAUCAGAGGUUGCAGCUGCACAUGGCCAUGAGGUAAACCUUGCCCCUGUUUGAAAUUGAGUUUCAUCAGCUUCUACAUGGGAUUAUAAGGACUUGGAAUAUAUCACAGACCCAGCAGGGUUUCCCCCCUCAUUUUUUUUUUUUAAGAUUUAUUUUUCUUCCUAAAGAUAACAUGCUUAAACAAAGUUCUUUAUGGUUAGUAACUGUGAUGCUUGAAGUUGGUUAUCCCUUACUCCAGUAAAUUUUAAAUGUCAAAGAUAUCUUGUUAAAUAAAAAAAAAACUAUCAAAAUUU